CCCUUAGAUGUCCUGGGCCGCACGCGUGCUACACUGACGCAUACAGCGAGCACUUUCCAGUUCCGAGAGGCUACUGGUAAUCAUCAAUAUGCGUCGUGAUGGGGAUAGAUCUUUGGAAUUCUGGAUCUUGAACGAGGAAUGCCUAGUAAGUGCAGUUCAUCAGGCUGUACUGAUUACGUCCCUGCCCUUUGUACACACCGCCCGUCGCUCCUACCGAUUUCGAGUGGUCCGGUGAACCUUCUGGACUGAGUUCGCAAGAACUCGGGAAGUUAAGUAAACCUUAUCACUUAGAGGAAGGAGAAGUCGUAACA
rnacentral:rRNA from 1 species